rnacentral:rRNA from 1 species
CAGUCGCCACGGUAAUACGUAGGGUCCGAGCGUUGUCCGGAAUUAUUGGGCGUAAAGGGCUCGUAGGCGGUUUGUCGCGUCGGGAGUGAAAACCAGCAGCUUAACUGCUGGCCUGCUUUCGAUACGGGCAGACUUGAGGCAUUCAGGGGAGAACGGAAUUCCUGGUGUAGCGGUGAAAUGCGCAGAUAUCAGGAGGAACACCGGUGGCGAAGGCGGUUCUCUGGGAAUGUUCUGACGCUGAGGAGCGAAAGUGUGGGGAGCGAACAGGAUUAGAUACCCGCGUAGUCCCUGUCUCUUAUAC